CCCGGAGGCGGAGGCGCGGGGGGGUGGGGUUUGGUGAAGUGGAGGGGUAACAAGAUGGCGGCGGAGACGGUGGAGCUCCAUAAGUUGAAGCUUGCUGAACUAAAGCAAGAAUGUCUUGCUCGUGGUUUGGAGACCAAGGGAAUAAAACAAGAUCUCAUUAACAGGCUCCAGGCAUAUCUUGAAGAGCAUGCUGAAGAGGAGGCGAAUGAAGAAGAUGUACUGGGAGAUGAAACAGAGGAAGAAGAACCAAAGCCCAUAGAACUGCCGGUCAAAGAGGAAGAACCCCCUGAAAAAACUGUUGAUGUGGCAGCAGAGAAGAAGGUGGUAAAAAUUACUUCUGAAAUGCCACAGACUGAGAGAAUGCAGAAGAGGGCUGAGCGAUUCAAUGUACCUGUGAGCUUGGAGAGUAAGAAAGCUGCCCGGGCAGCUAGGUUUGGAAUUUCUUCAGUUCCAACAAAAGGUCUGUCAUCUGACACCAAGCCUAUGGUUAACCUGGAUAAGCUAAAGGAAAGAGCACAAAGAUUUGGUUUGAAUGUCUCUUCAAUCUCUAGAAAGUCUGAAGAUGAUGAAAAGCUGAAAAAGAGGAAGGAGCGAUUUGGAAUUGUCACAAGUUCAGCUGGAACUGGAACCACAGAGGAUACAGAGGCAAAGAAGAGGAAAAGAGCAGAGCGUUUUGGGAUUGCGUGAUGAAAGUUCUUGAUGCUUUCCAUUCUCCCGUGGUUUCCAUUUCUGAUUCUUCUUGGUCACAUGUAUACCUAAAUGCACAGUCAUGUGCCUACGUCCUGCCUCGCAGUGAGGGAGCAUGUACCUCAGGUUCAAGUGCUGGAUUGUGUCAUGUGACCAUCCCAAAACUCAGAGCACCCUAUGGCCAUCUUUGCCCUCUGUCACAUAACUUGAAAACUACCUGAUGGCCUUUUUGCAGUGGUUCCCUCAAGGAAGCCUUGAUCUCAGUGAAGAAGUCCUUUCCUGGCAUUCCAGUGCCCCAGUCAGCCCCAUACUCCUCAGACACCCUUAACAAACAAAGGCAAUCACACACGAUGUAACAAAUACACAAAGUAAAUAAUUACACCAGUAAUGAUAUGUUCUGAGGGGCACUGGCCAGGUCCACACACAUAAGGUGGGGGAAGGGUGCCAGCCCCCACUGGGUUGCUGGGUUGUCUCCAAGCUUUUCUAUCCCAUGCCUCUUUGGGGAUAGGGAGGAACAGGGGACUGCAAUUUCAACUCAGAUUUAUAUUCCUAGGAGAAAUGACUGCUUUCCUGACUCUGCAAAGGUCUUUAUUUGGUGGUAUUAAAGGGCAAUUUUUUAAGUGUCCCCCAAGUUUAAUGCCCUAGCUGUUUAGAUUUUGUAGAGGGAAGUUACCUAAUGUUUAUUGCCCAGUCCCCACCCUGUCCAAGAUCAAGAGGUAUUUGACCUUGCAGGGAAGCAUGUGCUAUUCUUCACUUUUCUGCUCCUCUCCUUCCACCAAAGAAAUGUGAAUGGUCAGGUGUGUCUUGUUCUCCAAGACUGGGGCAGAAGGGUGAAGAAUAGGGCCAGAGAGGAAAGACUUGGGGUUAAAAUAGCUGCAAUAUGGAAGGUGAGUUGAAAAGCUUGACAGUCCCUGUUCAUUCCUCUACUGAAAUACCUUAUCUCAUUUUCUCACUAUGAGAAUAGAAGUAAGAUGCUAAAUUUCACCAGCAUCACCUUCCCAAGCAUGGUCACCAUACAUUUGCCCCUUCAGUGGUCUGGUCCAAGCAGGAGAGACAUGUGCUCAGGAAGAAUAAGCCUUCCAGGUCUGCUCUCCACCUCAGGCUUUACUUCAGUUCAGUACUGUUUCUACCAGACCAUAACUGCUGGCUCUACGUAAGAGUACCAUUUUGCUGUAGGUCUCCACAUCCCCCCCAGCCCACCCCCUGCUUUCCUGACAUCCUUAGGCUCUUGCCUGGAGCCAAGAGAUCUGCUGGUGAGGUAUGGAUAGGGUGUGGAGAUUCUCAACUCCUUGGCUUCAGGCACUGUCCAUCUGGGAGGCAGGGGAACUUGUACUCUCUGAAGCCUGUGACUCCUCUAAGCCUCACAUAUCUUCACCACUACUCUGGUGCCCUGGUUAUCUUGUCCCACAGCGAGAGGUAUUUUAUGUCCAUAAAGUGCCCGUGGUAAGUGCUCAGAAUUCAUCUCUUGGCUGUGGCGGGUGCUGCUAUUUCUCAUUCCAUCGAGGGGAAGAAACUGAGGCACAGUGAGUCCAGAGGAGAGUGAGUCAGGAUUAUGGGAGGAAUGAAUUGGCCCAGCUAGUGAGAUGAAGUGGCAACUACUUUCUGCCUGCUUCCUAGCCUUUCAAACCAGGGAAUCUCCUUCCUUCCCAUUCUUUGCUGUCAACUGGCCUUGUCAGAUGCCUUUCCCCACUGUACUAUCCCCUCCCUGCUUCCAGGUACUUCUAUACUCCAAAAAUAAAAGAUUAAAAAUUA